CCAGACUCCUACGGGAGGCAGCAGUGGGGGAUAUUGCACAAUGGGGGAAACCCUGAUGCAGCGACGCCGCGUGAGUGAAGAAGUAUUUCGGUAUGUAAAGCUCUAUCAGCAGGGAAGAAAGAAAUGACGGUACCUGACUAAGAAGCCCCGGCUAACUACGUGCCAGCAGCCGCGGUAAUACGUAGGGGGCAAGCGUUAUCCGGAUUUACUGGGUGUAAAGGGAGCGUAGACGGUUACGCAAGUCUGGAGUGAAAGGCGGGGGCCCAACCCCCGGACUGCUUUGGAAACUGUAUAACUGGAGUGCAGGAGAGGUAAGUGGAAUUCCUAGUGUAGCGGUGAAAUGCGUAGAUAUUAGGAGGAACACCAGUGGCGAAGGCGGCUUGCUGGACGACGACUGACGUUGAGGCUCGAAAGCGUGGGGAGCAAACAGGAUUAGAUACCCUAGUA
rnacentral:rRNA from 1 species